AUUGAACGCUGGCGGCAGGCUUAACACAUGCAAGUCGAGCGGAGAGAAGUAGCUUGCUACUGAUCUUAGCGGCGGACGGGUGAGUAAUACUUAGGAAUCUGGCUAUUAGUGGGGGACAACAUUUCGAAAGGGAUGCUAAUACCGCAUACGUCCUACGGGAGAAAGCAGGGGAUCAGUAAUGACCUUGCGCUAAUAGAUGAGCCUAAGUCGGAUUAGCUAGUUGGUGGGGUAAAGGCCUACCAAGGCGACGAUCUGUAGCGGGUCUGAGAGGAUGAUCCGCCACACUGGGACUGAGACACGGCCCAGACUCCUACGGGAGGCAGCAGUGGGGAAUAUUGGACAAUGGGGGGAACCCUGAUCCAGCCAUGCCGCGUGUGUGAAGAAGGCCUUAUGGUUGUAAAGCACUUUAAGCGAGGAGGAGGGUACUGGUAUUAAUACUACCAGCUACUGGACGUUACUCGCAGAAUAAGCACCGGCUAACUCUGUGCCAGCCGCCGCCGUAACAC
rnacentral:rRNA from 1 species